UACGAAGGGUGCAAGCGUUACUCGGAAUUACUGGGCGUAAAGCGUGCGUAGGUGGUUCGUUAAGUCUGAUGUGAAAGCCCUGGGCUCAACCUGGGAAUGGCAUUGGAAACUGGCGACCUAGAGUGCGGUAGAGGGUAGUGGAAUUCCCGGUGUAGCAGUGAAAUGCGCAGAUAUCGGGAGGAACACCAGUAGCGAAGGCGACACUCUGGGCCGGUACUGACGCUGAGGAGCGAAAGCGUGGGGAGCAAACAGG
rnacentral:rRNA from 1 species